AGUCGAGGGGUAGGCAGCAAUGCCAGAGACCGGCGCACGGGUGCGUAACGCGUAUGCAAUCUGCCUUUCACAGAGGGAUAGCCCAGAGAAAUUUGGAUUAAUACCUCAUAGCAUAAUGAGUUGGCAUCAACACAUUAUUAAAGUCACAACGGUGAAAGAUGAGCAUGCGUCCCAUUAGCUAGUUGGUAAGGUAACGGCUUACCAAGGCGACGAUGGGUAGGGGUCCUGAGAGGGAGAUCCCCCACACUGGUACUGAGACACGGACCAGACUCCUACGGGAGGCAGCAGUGAGGAAUAUUGGUCAAUGGGCGCAAGCCUGAACCAGCCAUGCCGCGUGCAGGAUGACGGUCCUAUGGAUUGUAAACUGCUUUUGUACGGGAAGAAACAGCGAUUCGUGAAUCGCCUUGACGGUACCGUAAGAAUAAGGAUCGGCUAACUCCGUGCCAGCAGCCGCGGUAAUACGGAGGAUCCAAGCGUUAUCCGGAAUCAUUGGGUUUAAAGGGUCCGUAGGCGGUUUUGUAAGUCAGUGGUGAAAGCCCAUCGCUCAACGGUGGAACGGCCAUUGAUACUGCAAGACUUGAAUUAUUAGGAAGUAACUAGAAUAUGUAGUGUAGCGGUGAAAUGCUUAGAGAUUACAUGGAAUACCAAUUGCGAAGGCAGGUUACUACUAAUGGAUUGACGCUGAUGGACGAAAGCGUGGGUAGCGAACAGGAUUAGAUACCCUGGUAGUCCACGCCGUAAACGAUGGAUACUAGCUGUUGGGAGCGAUCUCAGUGGCUAAGCGAAAGUGAUAAGUAUCC
rnacentral:rRNA from 1 species